AUUGAACGCUGGCGGCAGGCCUAACACAUGCAAGUCGAGCGGAGCGGCGGACGGGUGAGUAAUGCCUAGGAAUCUGCCUGGUAGUGGGGGAUAACUUCCGGAAAGGGGCGCUAAUACCGCAUACUAUCAGAUGAGCCUAGGUCGGAUUAGCUAGUUGGUGGGGUAAAGGCCUACCAAGGCGACGAUCCGUAACGGGUCUGAGAGGAUGAUCAGUCACACUGGAACUGAGACACGGGCCAGACUCCGACGGGAGGCAGCAGUGGGGAAUAUUGGACAAUGGGCGAAAGCCUGAUCCAGCCAUGCCGCGUGUGUGAAGAAGGUCUUCGGGUUGUAAAGCACUUUAAGUUGGGAGGCGUUACCCGCAGAAGAAGCACCGGCUAACUACGUGCCAGCAGCCGCGGUAAUUC
rnacentral:rRNA from 1 species